AGUGAACGCUGGCGGUAGGCCUAACACAUGCAAGUCGAACGGCAGCACAGUAAGAGCUUGCUCUUACGGGUGGCGAGUGGCGGACGGGUGAGGAAUACAUCGGAAUCUACUUUUUCGUGGGGGAUAACGUAGGGAAACUUACGCUAAUACCGCAUACGACCUACGGGUGAAAGCAGGGGAUCUUCGGACCUUGCGCGAUUGAAUGAGCCGAUGUCGGAUUAGCUAGUUGGCGGGGUAAAGGCCCACCAAGGCGACGAUCCGUAGCUGGUCUGAGAGGAUGAUCAGCCACACUGGAACUGAGACACGGUCCAGCCUCCUACGGGAGGCAGCAGUGGGGAAUAUUGGACAAUGGGCGCAAGCCUGCUCCAGCCAUACCGCGUGGGUGAAGAAGGCCUUCGGGUUGUAAAGCCCUUUUGUUGGGAAAGAAAAGCAGCAGGUUAAUACCCCGCUGUUCUGACGGUACCCAAAGAAUAAGCACCGGCUAACUUCGUG
rnacentral:rRNA from 1 species